rnacentral:rRNA from 1 species
GUCCACGCCCUAAACGGUGGAUGCUAGGUGUGGGGGGUGUCGACCCCCUCUGUGCCGUAGCUAACGCAUUAAGCAUCCCGCCUGGGGAGUACGGCCGCAAGGCUAAAACUCAAAGGAAUUGACGGGGGCCCGCACAAGCGGCGGAGCGUGUGGUUUAAUUCGAUGCAACGCGAAGAACCUUACCAGGGCUUGACAUGCUAGUGGUACCGAUCCGAAAGGUGAAGGACCCUUCGGGGAGCUAGCACAGGUGCUGCAUGGCUGUCGU